CCGCUGUUAUCAACAUCGGCAUGGCGUACCCGCUGGCAUCAGCAUCACGUGUAUAACAUCUGUAGCCACUGCCAUCAGCAUCGGCAUGGCGUAGCUGCUGGCUUCAGCAUCACGCGUACAUCAUCCCCUCUAGGACUUGGUUGACGGUUUCUUCAUGGGUUGCGAUAAGGAUAAUGCCAUGGCCGUGUUCCUCCAUGUGUUUGUAUGUGCUGAAUUAGGCCUUGUCCCUAGUGUUGACGUAUAAAUGAAGGAAGGGCGUCUCACGAAAGGGGGGCCAUCACAGGUUAUAGAACAGUUUGAGAGUGAAUACUGGCUCGACAACACGUACAUAAGGACCGAUCUGUGGACUUCUGUUAAAGGCCUUGACUGUUCCCGCUAUGCGUUUGACCGCAUUCAAAUAAAUUGAGAAGCGAGUACGA